rnacentral:lncRNA from 1 species
UUCGAUCAGAACGCUGGUAAAAUUUUUAAUAUUGCAGUUUGAGAUUUUGAACAUAUUAUUGCUUUAUAAUUUGCAUUUCUAUUUUCGUCAACACUCAAUUUAAUUGUAGAUUUUAUGUCUUUAUCUUGCCCCUUACAAUUUUUUAGUAAUACAUGAUUUACCUCUUUAACUUGCACAAAUUUUGUUUACAUAUUUUUCCUUUACAGAUAUUCUUUUACAUAUCUUUAUCUUGCAACUUUCGUAGCUAAUACCCUUUUGAAUAUCUUGUAUCACUUUCUAUUAAGAGGUGUAUGACACACGCUACUGAUAGAGUAAUAGAUGUAUAAGAAAUAUAUUUUUCUUCUUUUGUUUUACAUUGGAAAAAUCAUAAAUUAGCAAAAAAUUAAAUAUCACCAAAAAAAAGAUCAGGACAUUCUUCAACAUUCAACCCAAAAAAUAAUAUAAUUUUUUCCGUUCUCGAUUUUUUAUUUUUCUUCUUUAUCUUUCUAAAAGGGAAACUAACAUAACUCUUUCAUAGUUCUUCCUUAAAAUCUUGACAUUGAAACACUAAGAUAAAAUUUAUUUGGGAAUCAAAUAUAAGCUUCAUAGUUAUUUUAUGGAUUUCCUUUCUUGUUUGACAAUACUAACUUACGAAGUGUACGGUUACAAUUACAAAGUCGAGGUUACGUAACUAGUUCUAUUCAAUUUUGUGUUGAAUCUUGAAACUAUCUCAUUACUGGUAAUAAGUUGGGUUUUCUUUUUCUAAUUUAGGAUAGAUCCAAAAAGUAGGAAUAUUUUUUUUUGCCUUAUAAUAAUUAUUUUUCCCAUUUGUAUUUUUUUGUGGAUGGCCGCCAAUCUUAAAUCAGUAAUUUUGAAUUUUUUUUUUGAUUUAAAUAGUACGAUCAUAAGAACACAAGGGAUGGCAUUUCAAUGGGACGAGGAUUCAUAUUGGUGAUUGAUUCAGUAUUAAUUAGGCUGAAAUGGCAUGGGCUGGCCUAUUAUAUCUUGAUAUUUAAAGUUCAGUAAAUUUUUGAAAUCUCGUGCAAAAAUAGCUACUGUAUUGCCAAUGUAAACUUCAGAAUCCUUUUUUUUCAGGUUGAAAGUUGCAUGAACACCGCCAUUUGCACGAAAACGAGGACAUUGGAGCUUACCUUUAACUCAAAAAGCCACUUCACGAGAAAAUUUGUGAAAUACUUGUGGCAAUUUGUACUGAAGGAAAAACUUCAAAGAAUAAAGUGAGAAAAGUAUUAGAAAAUAGAGAGAUCAGUGACGAUGGUGAAACUGGAUUUGAGCUUGAAAUUAAAACAAUCUACGAUUUAGAUACACUAGUGUAUACAUUUAUUCUCUCCAUUAUUUUUUCCUGUCCCGUAUUGUAUUCAUAUUUAUCUUUCUGACAUAAUUAAAAAAUUCUUCCAA